rnacentral:rRNA from 1 species
AUUGAACGCUGGCGGAAGGCCUAACACAUGCAAGUCGAGCGAGCGGCGGACGGGUGAGUAAGGUCUGGGAACCUGCCUGAUGGAGGGGGAUCACUACUGGAAAAGGUAGCUAAUACCGCAUACCAUCAGAUGUGCCACGAUGUGAUUAGCUAGUGGGUGGGGUAAUGGCCCACCUAGGCGACGAUCCCUAGCUGGUCUGAGAGGAUGACCAGCCACACUGUAACUGAGACACGGUCCAGACUCCUACGGGAGGCAGCAGUGGGGAAUAUUGCACAAUGGGCGCAAGCCUGAUGCAGCCAUGCCGCGUGUAUGAAGAAGGCCUUCGGGUUGUAAAGUACUUUCAGCGAGGAGGCGUUACUCGCAGAAGAAGCACCGGCUAACUCCGUGCCAGCAGCCGCGGUAAUUC